rnacentral:rRNA from 1 species
UUUUUUGAGACCGGCGCACGGGUGAGUAACGCGUAUGCAACCUACCUUAUACAGGGGAAUAGCCCGAAGAAAUUCGGAUUAAUGCUCCAUGGUUUAUCGAUAUGGCAUCGUAUUGAUAAUAAAGAUUUAUCGGUAUAAGAUGGGCAUGCGUAUCAUUAGCUAGUUGGUGUGGUAACGGCAUACCAAGGCAACGAUGAUUAGGGGUCCUGAGAGGGAGAUCCCCCACACUGGUACUGAGACACGGACCAGACUCCUACGGGAGGCAGCAGUGAGGAAUAUUGGUCAAUGGAGGCAACUCUGAACCAGCCAUGCCGCGUGCAGGAUGACGGUCCUAUGGAUUGUAAACUGCUUUUGUACAGGAAGAAACCUCCCUACGAGUAGGGACUUGACGGUACUGUAAGAAUAAGGAUCGGCUAACUCCGUGCCAGCAGCCGCGGUAAUACGGAGGAUCCGAGCGUUAUCCGGAAUUAUUGGGUUUAAAGGGUUCGUAGGCGGUCUUAUAAGUCAGUGGUGAAAUUUCCUAGCUUAACUAAGACACUGCCAUUGAUACUGUUUAACUUGAAUAAUAUGGAAGUAACUAGAAUAUGUAGUGUAGCGGUGAAAUGCUUAGAUAUUACAUGGAAUACCAAUUGCGAAGGCAGGUUACUACGUAUUUAUUGACGCUGAUGAACGAAAGCGUGGGGAGCGAACAGGAUUAGAUACCCUGGUAGUCCACGCCGUAAACGAUGGAUACUAGCUGUUCGGUUUUCGGUCUGAGUGGCUAAGCGAAAGUGAUAAGUAUCCCACCUGGGGAGUACGUUCGCAAGAAUGAAACUCAAAGGAAUUGACGGGGGCCCGCACAAGCGGUGGAGCAUGUGGUUUAAUUCGAUGAUACGCGAGGAACCUUACCAGGGCUUAAAUGUAGAUUGACAGAUUUGGAAACAGAUUUUUCUUCGGACAAUUUACAAGGUGCUGCAUGGUUGUCGUCAGCUCGUGCCGUGAGGUGUCAGGUUAAGUCCUAUAACGAGCGCAACCCCUAUUGUUAGUUACCAGCGCGUAGUGGCGGGGACUCUAGCAAGACUGCCGGUGCAAACCGUGAGGAAGGUGGGGAUGACGUCAAAUCAUCACGGCCCUUACGUCCUGGGCUACACACGUGCUACAAUGGCAAGUACAGAAAGCAGCUACCUGGCAACAGGAUGCGAAUCUCCAAAGCUUGUCUCAGUUCGGAUUGGAGUCUGCAACUCGACUCUAUGAAGCUGGAAUCGCUAGUAAUCGGAUAUCAGCCAUGAUCCGGUGAAUACGUUCCCGGGCCUUGUACACACCGCCCGUCAAGCCAUGGAAGCUGGGGGU